GUCGUAACAAGGUCUCCGUAGGUGAACCUGCGGAGGGAUCAUUACACAAAUAUGAAGGCGGGCUGGAACCUCUCGGGGUUACAGCCUUGCUGAAUUAUUCACCCUUGUCUUUUGCGUACUUCUUGUUUCCUUGGUGGGUUCGCCCACCACUAGGACAAACAUAAACCUUUUGUAAUUGCAAUCAGCGUCAGUAACAAAUUAAUAAUUACAACUUUCAACAACGGAUCUCUUGGUUCUGGCAUCGAUGAAGAACGCAGCGAAAUGCGAUAAGUAGUGUGAAUUGCAGAAUUCAGUGAAUCAUCGAAUCUUUGAACGCACAUUGCGCCCUUUGGUAUUCCAAAGGGCAUGCCUGUUCGAGCGUCAUUUGUACCCUCAAGCUUUGCUUGGUGUUGGGCGUCUUGUCUCUAGCUUUGCUGGAGACUCGCCUUAGAGUAAUUGGCAGCCGGCCUACUGGUUUCGGAGCGCAGCACAAGUCGCACUCUCUAUCAGCAAAGGUCUAGCAUCCAUUAAGCCUUUUUUUCAACUUUUGACCUCGGAUCAGGUAGGGAUACCCGCUGAACUUAAGCAUAUCA
rnacentral:rRNA from 1 species